CACGUAGGGGGCGAGCGUUGUCCGGAUUUAUUGGGCGUAAAGAGCUCGUAGGCGGCUCAGUAAGUCAGGUGUGAAAACUCCAGGCUCAACCUGGAGACGCCACCUGAUACUGCUGUGGCUAGAGUCCGGUAGGGGAGCAUGGAAUUCCUGGUGUAGCGGUGGAAUGCGCAGAUAUCAGGAGGAACACCAGUGGCGAAGGCGACUCUUUGGUCUGUAACUGACGCUGAGGUGCGAAAGCGUGGGGAGCAAACAGG
rnacentral:rRNA from 1 species